GAUUGUCAAACAGCAGAAAUUUGAAGUUGCUAAUAAUACAAAGCAUAUUACUGUCCUAGUUUUGAACAUCAAGACUUCUGUAUCUAAUGAUCUCGACACCCAAGUAGUCAACAGGCCCUUGGACGGCCACAUGAGGCUUUCCAACUUGAACGCGAACAGCAGAUACCUCUGGAUACUUGGUGAGGGUUGUCGAUGCAAUGAGUUGAGCCACAGAUUCUAGCAGAUUUUUAGGUGGCCCCUCCAUAACCUCUUUAACUAGUCUGUAUAUAUCAGUAUAACUUAGAGUAUCGGACAAGCAGUCGGAUUCACCAGCAGAUCGAAGAUCCAUCCAAGCAUCAACAUCUACCAGGAACUUCUGACCAAGCUUCCUUUCCUCUUGCUUCACCCCAUGGUAUCCAUGAAAUUUUAAACCCCUUAGAACAAGUUUGUCUCCUUUUGGCAUGUCCAUGUGACCGGAGCUGGGUUUUGCUAUUACUGGCUUUUGGUCGGCGAACAGCCGGGAAGCCGCCGGAAUCUGAAUAAUAUUUUUUACUGAAAGUUUACUGGGCUUCUGAAUAUCGAAAAUGAGUACAAA
rnacentral:misc_RNA from 1 species